AAGGUGUGCAACCAGCCAUUCAUUCGAUUAUUUGGGAGUUAGUACGACUUGAGGACGACCCGAGUUGGUUUUGCUUUGCCGAAAUAAGGUAAUAUGGGAUGAUCUGGGAUUUCAGUGAGGAGCGUUAGGAAGUUACUGGCAACGAUUAUUAUUUCAGUAAUGUAAUAAAUGUGAUUAGGAACUUUUAUUUAAUGUUA